rnacentral:tRNA from 1 species
GAGGGUAUGGCUCAGUGGUAGAGCACAUGCUUAGCAUGCACAAAGUCCUGGGUUCAAUUCCCAGUACUCCCA